rnacentral:ncRNA from 1 species
AUCAGGGGCCCUGGCAAGGGCCUUGGGGCGCCCUCCGUCACCGUGGAGGCGCCCCGUGUCCGUACAGCCCAUAAGGCCGUUCGACGAGGUUGCGACUGCACCGAGCAAGUGGUUUCGAGGGACUCAAGUGCGUCACCGCCGUCACAGCAUUCGUGUAGCACCGCAGCGAGGCAUCCACGAGCCGACCUGCAGGGGCACUGAUGCACAUGACUGCCCGCCUUGCACCUCAUCC